rnacentral:rRNA from 1 species
UGGGGAAUAUUGCACAAUGGGCGCAAGCCUGAUGCAGCCAUGCCGCGUGUAUGAAGAAGGCCCUCGGGUUGUAAAGUACUUUCAGCGGGGAGGAAGGCGAUAAGGUUAAUAACCUUGUCGAUUGACGUUACCCGCAGAAGAAGCACCGGCUAACUCCGUGCCAGCAGCCGCGGUAAUACGGAGGGUGCAAGCGUUAAUCGGAAUGACUGGGCGUAAAGCGCACGCAGGCGGUCUGUCAAGUCGGAUGUGAAAUCCCCGGGCUCAACCUGGGAACUGCAUUCGAAACUGGCAGGCUAGAGUCUUGUAGAGGGGGGUAGAAUUCCAGGUGUAGCGGUGAAAUGCGUAGAGAUCUGGAGGAAUACCGGUGGCGAAGGCGGCCCCCUGGACAAAGACUGACGCUCAGGUGCGAAAGCGUGGGGAGCAAACA